rnacentral:rRNA from 1 species
AUUGAACGCUGGCGGCAGGCUUAACACAUGCAAGUCGAGCGAGUGGCGGACGGGUGAGUAAUGCUUGGGAAUCUAGCUUAUGGCGGGGGAUAACUACGGGAAACUGUAGCUAAUACCGCGUACCAUUGGAUGGGCCCAUGUGGGAUUAGGUAGUUGGUGAGGUAAAGGCUCACCAAGCCGACGAUCGCUAGCUGGUCUGAGAGGAUGACCAGCCACCCUGGAACUGUGACACGGCCCAGACGCCCACGGGAGGCAGCAGUGGGGAAUAUUGCGCAAUGGGGGCAACCUGACGCAGCCAUGCCGCGUGGAUGAAGAAGGCCUUCGGGUUGUAAAGUUCUUUCGGUAGCGAGGCGGUAGCUGCAGAAGAAGCACCGGCUAACUCCGUGCCAGCAGCCGCGGUAAUAC